rnacentral:lncRNA from 1 species
AAGUUGCGGACCUGCUCAAGCUCUCCCUGUAACUCUAGUAUAUUUUGUUCCAACCUCAAAAGUAAAUCAUUUGGCACUGGAGUACUCUGUCCAUCUGAAAUUUUUGCAUUUUCCACAUUCUCCUUUCGAAUACCACUUAAGUCGUCCAUUUUAGCUUUCCCUUUGCUCUUUGUAUUACUUGGAGGAGGAGGUGGUGGAGGGCUUCUAAAUCUGGUGUGAUAAGAUGAUGAUGCCAGUAUGUGUGAACCAACCUUAGGGGAUGGGAAUAAAUAAUAAAUAAAAACAAAAGGUAAACAAGUUAGCAAGGGUUCUGAAAUGUUUGCAUUAUUUAAACACAUAUUGCGGGAAUGUAAAUUCGAGUCCUAAUUUGGGAGCCCCGUUGUUGUGAUGACCCAGCCAGUCAUUUUAAUAAUUAACGCUAUAAUCACCUUUAACUACUCUCCCCUUGUUUGUUUCUGGUAUUUUGAUUUGCCGGGAUGUUUGGUUUUGAGUUUCGGAGUGUUUUGGGACACUUAGUCCCUAAAUAAGAGCUUAAGCUUUAGAAUUUGGACUAUAGUCGGAGUGGUGUGAAGACGGCCUUAGAAAGGAAAUCUGUUAGUUCCGAUAGCUCCGUUAGGUUAUUUCGGGCUUAGGGGUGUAUUCGGAUUGUGUUUUGGAGGUUCGUAGCUUAUUUAGGCUUGAAAUGCUGAAAGUUAAAUUUUUGAAGUUUCUGGUUCGAUAGUGAGAUUUUGAUAUCGGGGUCAGAAUGGAAUUCCAGAAGUUGGAGUAGCUCCAUAGUAUUGAAUGUGACAUGCUUUCAAAAUUUAAGGCCAUUCGGACGAGGUUUGAUAGACUUUUUGAUCGAAAGCGUAAUUUAAGAGUUUUUGGAGUCUUAGGCUUGAAUCCAAUGUUAAAUUGGUGUUUUGAUAUUGUUUUGAGUGUUCCGAAGAUUUGAACAACUUUGAAUGAUGUUUUAGGAUUGGUUGGCAUGUUUUCUUGAGGUCCAGGGGGCUUCGGGUGUGUUUCAGAUGCUCAACGGGUCAUUUUGGAACUUAGGAAAAUUGCAAAAAAUUUGCAGCAGCCCAAUUUUGGUUUUCUUAUUUGCGUUCGCGAGUGGGGUAUCGCGUUUGCAAAGAGGAGAUGGGGCUGAGGGAGGUUUAAUGUUUCGAGUUCACAAAGUUUCUCCCGCGUUCGCGAGGGUAGUUCCGCAUUCGCGUAGGAGGAGGAAAUUGUGCAUCGCGUUUGCGACUAGGACAUCGCAUUCGCGAUGAAGGAAACUGGACCUAAGCGGAGUUGUACUUCGUGAGCGUGAGGGUCCUUCCACAUUCGCGAAGAAGGAAAUACCUGGGCAGAAUGUUUAAAUUCAAAAUCGAGGGUUUAGCCAUUUUUGUGAAAACUAGAGCUUGGGAGCUCGAAUUUGAGCGAGGUUUUGAGGGAUUUUCAGAGACAUCGAUUGGGUAACGAUUUUUAACUCCUUUUUUCUUGUAAUCCAUUAAUCUAAACAUGAAUUCAUCAUUUAAUUUCGGAAUUUGGAUAGAAAUUGGGGGAAAUUUCUUAGACUUAAAUUUUGAGUUUUGAUUGGGGAUUUGGCAUUAGAUUUGGAUAAUUUUGGUAUGAUUAGACUUGUGAGAGUAUGAGGAUUCUAAAAAUAUAAAUUUUACCCGAUUCUGAGACGUGGGCCCGGAUGGCGUUUUGGUCAUUUUACCUAAUUUAAUGCAUUAGCUUAGAAUUUAGUUGUGGAAUCAGUUACUAUAAGUUAUAUUUACAUUAUNNNNNNNAAGAAAUUUUAACUGUGUUUCUUUUUUUUCCUGUUUAUACUACUUGAAAUUUAAGCCUAUUGUUAGCUUAGGGAAGCAGGUCUGAUUGACUUAAUUGCUUUACUUGCUUAACUGCAUUAUUUGGAUUAUGUGCAGUAUGCUAGGCUAGAAGUACCUGUUUCACAUUAGUAUGGAAUUUGAAUUGAAUUGUGUAUUCUUCGUUGUUGCUGUUAUGUGUUUACUUUGGGACUACUGGACGGUAUCCCGGUAGAUCCCCCUGCAUGUUUACUUUGGGACUACGGAUUUAUAUUCUGGUAGAUCCCCCUGCACAUUUACUUUGGAACUACGGGACUGUACCAGGUAGAUUCCCCUUGUAUUGAAUAUUUACACUUGGGACUAUUGAUCGAAUUUCCGGUAGAUCCACGCGCAUUAGGAGUUGUAAUACGGGACUUCACCCGGGAGAUCCACUAGAUAUUUAUAUUUGGGGACUACAGGACGGUAUCCUGGGAAAUCCCUGGUUGUUAUCUCUGUGUUGAGCUGUAAUCCUUUCCGUGAUUAUUUUGUAUCUGUUAUAGUUGUUGUUGUUCUUUUUGUUCUAUGUUAUUUCUUAUUGUUGCACUUAAUCAUAAUGUCUUAUUCUACACUAUUGUACCUUAUAUUUCAUUUACUCUCAGUAGGGCCUGAUUUUCCUCGUCACUACCCGACCGAAGUUAGGCUUGGCACUUACUGAGUACCUAUAUGGUGUACUCAUGCCCUUUCUGCGCAUAUUUUUCAUGUGAAGAUCUAGGUACUUCCACCCAAUCUUAUCAUCCUUGAGGCGAGGCGCUGUUCUAGAGACUCCAAGGUAUAUCUGCCGCGUCCGCAGACCGAAGAGUCCCUUUCUAUUCUCAGUACUAGUAUAGCCCUUCUGUAUUUUCCUUGUUGAUAGACAUUUCUGGAGUUAGAACUUUUUAUGUAAUCUCUUAGGUUGUGAUUCAUGGGGUUCCAGAUUUUGGGAGUGUUAGGUUGAGAUUUUGUACUGUUAUAUGUCAGGCGGCAUCUUAAACACUAUUUUGUUUUGUUAUCUCAGUUUUAAUUAUUUUCUUUCCGCAUUUGUCAGGCUUACCUAGUCGUAGAGACUAGGUGCCGUCACGAUAGUUCAUGGAGGGCGAACUGGGGUCGUGACAGUUGUGCUCGAGGUACGCCUAGUGACAAAUAAAAUUGGAGAAAUUUAGUGCUAAUAAUUGCCUCUUUCAUUAAUGUAAAAGUAAACGACCCAAAACAACACUAAAUAAAAUAAUGUUGCUAGUGUCACUUGGCCUUAUUAUAUUUAAAAGGAAAGCAAGUAAAUCUAAUCUACUUGGUCCCAGAAGGACCCUCUCUAGAUCGGAUGUUGUUGUCGAUCAACUCUCCCAACUCGCGCAGGUUCAGCAGUAAGGAUGCCCUCCUUCAUUUUCUUCAGCAUUCUGGCAGUCGGUGACCCUCUUCCUUAUCUUCCCUUCAAAUUCCAUUAAACUGUAUUCUAGAUAUUCCAGCCUCUCGCUAGAUUUAACAGCUAUUUCUUUCUACUCGUUAAUCAUUUCCAUGUCGGCCUUAUGCUUCGCCAUAUGCUCAGCUUCAGACUCUCGAACUCUUUUGCGUAGCUUGUUGUACUUCACCUUUGCUUCGACAAACUCAUCUAUGACCCUAUUUCUUGGAUCAACCCUUGGCUCAAAGACUCCUGAUAGAUUAUCAUCCAAUCAUGAGGGGUAAAAGUAUAAAUGGCCCGCAUGAUAUCGGUCCGGCUCGAUAGUAUCCUUCUCCACAAUAAUCCUCAAAAUCCAUAUAUGUUGUGCUUCAUUCUUAUAUGGGAUGGAGUCACCCUGGAAAUCAGCUAUGAAGUGACUCCUCUUAGCAACCCGUGGUAUGACAUGUCUCCUACUUGCCUGUCUCAUAACCUUGAGGGGAGCAUAAGGGUAUAUCCCUCUUAACCGAUCAACACCAAAUGUGGGACAUCUCUGGAUCUUAUGAUGAACUCGUCAGUGGGGAACCACUCGAACAUCCGCUGAACCUGGUCCUCAGUUAACUUGUUGAAAAACUACACUCAUCCUACAUCACCUUUAGGCUGAUCGAACAUGUCUGGAAUGUAAGUGAUCCUUUUAGGGUGAUGGAAGGUUAUGUGGUCAUUCCACGGCCUUCGGGGAAAUUAUAGGCGGUAUUGACCCCUUUGGAGAUGUUCUAACAGCUAGACUUGUAAUAGUAAAUUGCAACCCUUAAAGAAUCUGGACCCCUUAUGACAGCGUUACAAGGCCCGGUACAUAUCCGCAAUGAACAUAGGGACAAUAGUAUAUGUCUGCCCUUUGAUCCCAUCCAUCAGAAUUUUGGCCACCAUGGCCAGCCAAGUAUGGAUUCUAUCCCGUUAGAUUGGGAAUACCAGCAUGCCCAAGAAGAUCACAAUGAACACAAAGAUCUUACGAUGAACCCAACCCAAAGAGGUGAUUGAGAACUCAUCAUCAAAAAUAUGGUAACAGCUACUGUGACCGUAUCUUUCCUAAAGGAAAUCAAAAGGUAUGUAGGAGUUUUUCAGGCACUCCAAAUCAUCAUUUUUCUUCAGCUCCAUCAUCUUAAGGAACCCUCUGGUAGUGCGAUUUUCAGGUGCCAACAGACCAGGGCUAUCCUAUGGUAGCCCAACAAAUCCUCCUAUUUCUUCUAGGAGGGGAGUCAUUUCUAUAUCCCCGAAGCAGAACACAUCCUUUACUUAUCCCAAAACAGAGUGGCGGCUUCGAUAAGUAUUUUGUUUGGUUGAAAAUCCAAUAGUGACAGCAAAUUCCCUAAGACUCUUUUCACAUGAUUUUGGUCACUUAAGGGAAGGUCCCUCCACCUGUCUAUCAAAAGUGGAGGUAUGCUACCGACCAUACUAAAUCUGGGGACUUUGUACCUCAUUUUCUGCAAAACAAGAGAUAGUUAGGCCCUUUCCCCCUCCAAGUUCGUAUAUUUAUACAUUAAUGAUUAGCAUAUUGGCACUUAUUUCUCCAAAUUAAUGCACACAAUCGUGAUUACGUCCGUUGGGAUUGUGGAAAACCCGAUGGACUUUUGGACGAGGCUUGUCUUAAAGGGUUAUUAUGUGGACAACAUAUUAACCCGGCUAGGUUUGACCAUUAUGCAUGCACAAUUAAUCAGAGUAAGGCUAUUAUAGAGGUCUAGGCUGGGACCCUCAAACGGACAACUUGAGGGGGAAAGGCAUGGAACCGUCGAACGCACCGCUAAUCGACUAGUUUUACUGCAAAUACGCCUCUCCGAAUUUAAAGGAUGAUAUAGGAAGAGCGCAAACACUCAUCAACCGUUGUUAUAGGAUUGAUUACGCACGAGCGGAAUAUGAUAUUGAGCAUGAUUUAUGCAACAAUAAAUAGCAUAUUGUCAAGUAUUUGCACGUCAAAAAUGAUAAAGCAGUAUUUGAAUAAUUGAAAGACAGUUACGAGAAAAAGAAACAAAGAGGUAACUCAGUUUCAGAAAGAUAAAGAAAUCAUAAAUAAGUAGUUAAAUCCAAAUAAAGGGGGAAGGGUACACAUGAUAAAGCAUGGUUAGACUAAUUCACAAAAAAGUUUGUUAUGGUAAGAGCCUAAAAUAUCCCCAGCAGAAUCGCCAUGCUGUCGCGCCCCUCUUUUCCUCGCGGGGUCCGGGUUUCGACAUUCAUGGGGGAACAACUCAUUUCCUAACGCACCUAACGGAUUAAGGUGUGUUAGGGUACCUAGAGCUAUUAACUUAUGUAACUAGUUUGCAUUACUAGAAAUUAGGGUAAGGGCUCGAAAUAACCUUAAGGGGAAGGUGUUAGGCAUCCCUCGCGGUCCACAACGGUGGGUACCGACCGAACUUAAACUAUGUGAAUUAGUCAAUUAACAAGUAAGCACGUAUUUGCAAAUAAAGUAGUUUUCCCCAUCUAAAUGCAUAUAUGAUCAAGGAAGUUCAGAUAAUGAGGGUAAACGGGGUUUGGAGAGCUUACACACGUAUAUGUAAAGAAAAGGGAAGUUUAGAUAAUUUAAACACAUAUAGAAAUUGGGAAAGAGGUGUCCUAAGUUGAUUAGCCUACAUGAUCAAUUUGUGCAAUUCCCGAUAAUCCUCCUCAACUAGAGGGGCUACACGUGACAUUAGCGCGCAGGUCAUCAUAUCCUUUUACUACCCAUUACUCUCCCCUUAAUGGUUAUACAAGCGAGUUUGAUUAACAACCUCUAAGCGUGUUGCUACUCGUCCCUUCCUUGUGGUCCUGGAGGAGCUUAGGACCUCUAAAUCUGGGAAGUUCUAGACAAACCUAAGGUAUUUAAAAGGCAAAAAUCUUGGCGACAAACAAAUAACAUGUAGGACUAGAAAAUAGGGAAAAAGUAGUUAAAAGGCUCAUGUAUACCUCCACAUGUAUAUAGGCAAAUAGAUAGCACAUCUCAAACAGCUGAUUUUGAAGAAGUUCAGAAAGCCGAGGAAUAUGAUAUCUAGAUGAAUGUUACAGAUACAGGAUAUGCAACGUUUGUUUUGAGGGAAGUGGUAGAAUCCUAACCAGCUUGCCUACUGGUUUUAUAGUCUGUUAAGCCUGGAUAAUUUCACACAUAAACAGAACUGGAUUUCACAGUUAUUUAAUGGCCUAAGGCUUGCCUAGGCGUGUGUCUAUAUGCAGUCAUAAUCUGGGAAUUAAUUAAACAGCUUGAAGUGAGUUAAUCCUAUAGGCAUGCUGAUUAAAGUGACAGACUGAAUUUAGGCAUGCUAACAGUAGGAUGUGAUAUCUAUGCGUUUGGACUAUUUUUAAACCCUUUUGUAGACAGCUAUUAAUUUGAUCGAAAUAGACAUAGUGCAAAUAGAUGCAAAUAGAGUUCCUAGAAAACAUAGUAUCUAAUGCAUACAGAAGAUGACUACUUUUAUUAAGGCAGGAUUAUUAACCUAAUAACAGGAUCUCUAAGUGAAAAUACUUAUGCAAAAUUAAAACUGGAAUUGAGAUAUAUGACAUGUAGUAUGCUGAAGCAAUAAACGUGAAUACCCUAAGAACAUGAUGUCUAGUGUGCAGGUUUAACAUGGUUUGAAUGCAAAUAGACACACCAGUCCUAGAACAUGAUUUCUAGUGCAGAUUUGCGUAUUGUAAAGCCUAAAAACAUGAUUUCUACCCAGCAUUACCCCACAGUACCAUACAACUACCCUCUCAUUUCACUAGUUACCCUAAUAUUGUCACACCUUCUUUUUACACCCGAGAUGGGAUAUAAGGGAGUUUUUCCAAUUUAAAUGAUAUUAUACGAAAUGGGAUUAUUUAAUUUAUCAUAGUCGCCACUUGGAAUAGUUUAUUUGGUGUCUCAAGUCACUGGUUUAUUUUAAAUCCCAAGUUGAGGAGAAUGUUGACUUUAUUUAAAAGUGUGCGAAAUCAGAAAUUCUAAGUAAGUAAUUCUGUUAACCCAGGAGAAGGCGUUAGGCAUUCCCAGGUUCCGUGGUUCGAGUAAUUAAGCGUCACGACUACAUCACUGGAACCGUACUCGUAGCUAUGACAAUUAUUUAAUUAACGCGCCUAAAGCAAACUUCGAAAACAUUAAGGCAUUUUCUAUACUAAAAUUUUAUUUAUGUGAGGGCCAUAGAUUAUGGAUUUAUUUUGUGUAUGGCAUACCUCGACUUAUUUUCUAAAGGGGUUAGCUCUUGAUCUAAUUUCGUGAGGGCCAUGUAUUAUAAGUUUUAAGCAUGGCACGCCUCAUAUUAAAUUCAAGAAAAGGGUUAUAUAUUUUAAAGGCAAACUAAAGGUGCUCCUAUUAACCGUACACAUAGUUGCCUAAAAAACAAACUACGGUGUUCAAUGAAUUAAAUUACUAAACCAUUGUGAGAUUAUUGACCUCAAUUCUGCUUGGAAUCUCUUAUAUAUUCUACUUAUUAUAUUGCUUACACCGCGAGAUUCAAAUCCACUAUAUUGGACAGAAGAUGGGACGCCCAUGUUAACAACGUAGGCGCCACUUAUAAGAUUCACUGGAAAAGUAUAUCUACUUGACUCAUCAGAAUUCAAAAGUAAAUAUAAGGAAGAAACAUUUUACACUAAGAUGAUUCUAUCUGCAGCUUUCUUGACAAAUGCCAUCAUGAAAAUUAUUCAAAAAGAAUUUAGAGAAGGCACUCAUCCAUCUUGUAUAAGUCAUGCCAUUGUCUGUUUUCGUUAUCUAAUACGCUUUCGAGUACAUCAACAGAGAACAUGAAGAUCCACAUAGCAAUUCUUUAUGACAAAAAAAAAACCAAAAUUUCCAAGUUGCUAGUUAUAACAAAGUUCUCUUAUACACAGAAACAAUGAAUUCGUUUUCCAACUAUUCCACUAUUUCCAGACAACCAGAUACACUGAUGAGUGAAUUAGUGCAAUGACAUAUAUUAUUGCUGCUAAAAACUGCUACUAGAACUAAACAGGAGUACGUACUUUGAUCAAUACUCCUUUUUAGUUUCAAAAAAGCUAAAUUAAAAGCUGUUUUUUCAACAAAAAAAAAACGAAUGAACAUACUUCAAAUAUCAAAUUCUUCUGUUACUCCAUCUCGUUCACCCAAAAAAAAGAAGAAGAUGGAUUAUCAAGCAACUAGAGCAAUUAUCAGACCAUUAUUGCAAUUACAGAGGAAAACACCCAUUUUCAGUUUUCACAACGAGAUUCCACAGACUCAUAUUAACACCUCGGCGUCUAUUUGAACGAAUUGAGCCUACAUGUUCAAUACAUAAUUUUUAAAAGCACACCUCAAAUAGUGAAAAUAGUUUCAUCGCAACUUGAAAUCAAGUCAAAUUUACACUCGUUUGAACAAUACCGAACUCACAACAGAAGUUGGAGAAGAAGCGGACAAACAUAAUAAAAAUCAACAUGACAAGAAAUCAACAAAACACACAGAUUACAUGGAAACAUAUAAAAGGAAUAAGGGAAGGAACCUGUUAAUUCGGAGCUCUUUCACUAAUAACUAAAAAAUUACAAUAUUUUGCUCCAAGACUCCACUGAGAUAGUAACAAUAUUGAGUAGAAAUUGCAAAUCAAAACCCAACUCGCGAACAAAAAGCAACUCGAAUGGAACUCAAACAGCACCGGAAUUCCAAUCCCAAACGCAAAACUCGAACAUAGAUUUUAAUGCAAAUCCUUUCUUGAGAACCACAAACUCAAAAAAUUUACUGAAUUUUUUUUCAUUUUUUGAUUGCCUCUGAAAAUGAAGUAAAACUAGAACAACAUCAAACUCAGGCCAUUUUCGAAGAAAGAAAAACUAAGCUUUGAGCGGUCUGAAGAAAAGAGCUCUGAUUUUUCCUUAUUUUUCCCUUAAACAAGAAAACUCACCUUUUAUAUAACCCUCAAAAAUCUCGAAGCUUCUGCCCAAAAAUCCGAAAAAUCCCCUCGUUUUUGAACGAUUUUAGGGACAAAUGGAAGGCAUUGAUCGAUUUACAUCCAUCCACGGCUCCCAUUCAUCUAGCAAAUCGCUCCAUAGUACAGAAAUCGUGCAAAUUCGGAGGGAAUAUUCUUUCUUCUCUGACAGAAAUCUGUUGGAAUAAAAUGACGUAGAGAGGAGGGGACCCAUUUGAGUGAACUCGCCUGAGUUUCAGGCGAGUUGACGACCGAGUCGACGAGGAAGACGAUGAAUAGUAGGGUGGGGCGCCGUUUCUAUAUCUUCUAGGUUUAGGG